UAUGCGCAGCUUGGCUAACAUAUUGCAUAAUUAAUAUGAGACUAGUUCCAGUACUGCGCAGUUAAAACAGCCUUUUUGUUUUGAAAAGACGGCGUUUUACCGGCGAACUGUCACAUUUUGGCGAAUGCUAGAAACUAGAUCAAACUUAAGGUUAAAAUUUUCUUUAUGGUUUUAAUGCUGUACAGUAAGUCAAAACAGCAACCGAAGUCAGCCUUUCGUACCUUUACUCGAACGAUUCAACAGUUUGAUUUUGUUUGUUUUCGCCAGAACACGCGCAUGCGCAUACGUUAUUCAGCACUGUCUAUUCACUCACCACUGACCGGAAAAGCUUAGCGUAUCGCACUACAAGACACGUGUCGCACCAUUAGCUUUCUUCUACGUUCAUCUGCGUUUAUUCAUCUGUUCAUAUUGUAGUCAACAUUAAGCUCCAUUUCAGCAAAAAUGGAACAGAUAUUCUUGCUUGUCUUCAUCUUGUUGUUGGCCUUAUUUGUCACAAGGUAAGUUCUAUGUUAAGCUCUCAAUUCAACAUUGUAUAAAUGCUGCACAUACAUUUGGUGCUGUUCAUUUCCUUUAUUGGUAUGUAGGCCUGGUAUAUCCUAUAAGCCGAUCUCGCACACUUUUGAUAUUUUUUUAUUCCUAAAAGACAAGUAGAAAGCUUUGAAUAACAAACUCUGAUUGCAGCGACUAUCUUGGAUAUUUUAACUCCUCAUUGCACAAUUCCAAAGUGGCAGCCAUCUGAUUUGAUGCUACACAGCUGUGGGCACACUUUAUUGACCAGUUGGCGACUAAUUCCGCCAUUUGAUAGGAGCGAACUUAGCAGCCCCCCAAAUUUAUUAGAUAUGCCAAUUUGUAAUGUCAUAGCAUUGAAACUAGCAUAAAUAUGGCUUUGCAAAAGUUUGCACCUCACCAUAUAAACCUCUAUAAAAGAUUUGAACUUUCUGGGAUUAUAUAUUCACUAGUUUCCAUCCUUUGUUACUGUAAAUUGACAUACCUUCUUACUGGCUUCUGCUUUUAACUUAACCUUCUUCCCUGUGUUUUAUUGCAGGGUAUCAUCUGAUGAUGAUCUAGAAAGAUUUAUUUCCAGUGUACAUUCUCUGUUAAGGAAGCUAGACACGGAAUCCGACAAUAUACGACAGAGUAGAGACAGAUGUGAAUUUUACGCCAACCGUGUCCUUUGUGCAAUGCAGCACCUUGUUCAUAUUGCAAUUUUUAUGCAACAAUCACAGUCUACCCAACAGAGCUUGUUUAGGGGAGUGGAGAGGCUUCGUGAUCAGAUGCGAAACAUCUAUUCACAGCUCUACUCCCUAUCUGUAAUGGAUGGAUACUCAUAUCGCCCUUCUGUAGAGCAUAGUGACAGACCUGGGAGGCCCAGACUUCAAGUAUCAGCUGAGCAACUGUCCUGUCUGAGAAAUGAAUUUAACAGCUGGGCUCAAGUGGCAAGGGCUCUUAGGGUUUCUCGGCAGACUGUCUACAACAGACGUAGAGAAUUAGGGUUCUCUAUGGACUUUGAGGGAUUUUCUAAUAUAAGUGCAAACGAUCUGGAUGUUGUUGCCUGUGAGGAGUUGAAUGCAUUCCCCGGAACAGGGGAAACAAAUUUGAUUGCUGGUUUGAGAAGAAGAGGUUUGUGGAUACAGAGAUGGAAGGUGAGGGAGUCAAUUGUGAGAGUAGACCCAAUCAACAGGGCAAACAGAUGGGCCCAGAGGAUUGUCAGACGUCCAUACUCUGUACCCAAUCCAAAUUUCCUGUGGCACAUUGAUACUAAUAUGAAAAUGAGGCGCUGGCGGAUGUGCAUCCAUGGGUGUGUGGAUGGCUUUUCUAGAGCUAUUAUAUAUCUAGUAGUAAAUCCCAACAACCUGGCUGCGACUGUCCUUUCUUGUUUCCAAAACAGCACCACUAAGUGGGGUCACCCAUCACGUGUAAGGGCAGACGACGGAGGUGAAAAUGUGGCUGUUGGGGAGUACAUGGAGUACUUUAGGGGAGCCAACAGAGGGAGCUUCCUAACAGGGCCAAGUGUCAGAAACACACGGAUUGAACGGCUUUGGAGGGAUGUUGGCUUGAGUGUUAUCAGCCUGUUCUCUUCUUUAUUUUAUUUUAUGGAAUUGCAUCUUUUACUUGAUUCUGAUUCGGAUAUUCACAUGUAUGCCCUUCACUACGUUUUCCUUCCAAGAGUGCAGCGCCACUUGGACCUAUUCAGAGAGAGAGUUAUGGUUCAUGCCAACUCCACGGCAACUGUGGACAUCUGGCAUGCUUGCCAAUUAUAACUCACCGAACUCUGCAGUCAGAGAUGUAUUGGACAAUCCUGAUGAAUAUGGUGAUGAUCCAACAGCGCCCCCUCCAGAUCCUGACAAUGACACCACAGGAGUUGUUGUUCCACCAGUAAACCUGGAUCUUAAUGAUGAGUACAUUACAACCCUUCGUCAUUCAUUUGACCCACUUGGAGAAGAUAACAAUUACGGUAUCAAUAUAUUUCUUCGCGAGUUCGCGACUAUAUUUCUCUGGCGUUAGCCAGGCAAAAUGGCAAAUAUGCUUUUAACAUCCCACAUACUUGUCAGGUCUGCUACUGGUCAGUGGUUUAACAGGCUUCCCCAAUCAGACAAUAGUAAAUACUUAGAAAUUGAUCAAUGCCACUCAUCUCAUCAGAAACUACCAUUUGCCUGCCCUAAAUCAAGUGUCAUUCUGCAAGGGCAUUUAACAAUAAGGGUAUAGUUAUUAGUAUCCAUUUUGAUAGCCAUUAGUAUUCUCAA